rnacentral:rRNA from 1 species
CANUGGAGGAACUCUGAUGCAGCGACGCCGCGCUGAGUGAAGAAGUAAUUCCUUAUGUAAAGCUCUAUCAGCAGGGGAAGAUAGUGACGGUACCUGACUAAGAAGCUCCNGCUAAAUACNUGCCAGCAGCCGCGGUAAUACNUAUGGAGCAAGCGUUAUCCGGAUUUACUGGGUGUAAAGGGAGUGUAGGUGGCCAUGCAAGUCAGAAGUGAAAAUCCGGGGCUCAACCCCGGAACUGCUUUUGAAACUGUAAGGCUAGAGUGCAGGAGGGGUGAGUGGAAUUCCUAGUGUAGCGGUGAAAUGCGUAGAUAUUAGGAGGAACACCAGUGGCGAAGGCGGCUCACUGGACUGUAACUGACACUGAGGCUCGAAAGCGUGGGGAGCAAACAGGAUUAGAUACCCUGGUAGUCCAAGGGCGAAUUC